UACGGAGGAUGCAAGCGUUAUCCGGAUUCAUUGGGUUUAAAGGGUGCGCAGGCGGGGGAAUAAGUCAGUGGUGAAAAGCUGCCGCUCAACGGUAGUCUUGCCGAUGAUACUGUUUUUCUUGAGUAUGGAUGAGGUAGGCGGAAUGUGUAGUGUAGCGGUGAAAUGCAUAGAUAUUACACAGAACACCGAUUGCGAAGGCAGCUUACUAAUCCAUCAUUGACGCUGAGGCACGAAAGCGUGGGGAUCAAACAGGA
rnacentral:rRNA from 1 species